rnacentral:rRNA from 1 species
GACGAACGCUGGCGGCGUGCUUAACACAUGCAAGUCAAGGGGGAGUCGCAAGACUCAACCGGCGAACGGGUGCGUAACACGUGAGCGACCUACCUAAUUGUGGGGGAUAGCCGGCCCAACGGCCGGGUAAUACCGCAUACGAUCGGAGAGGGGCAUCCCUUUCUGAGGAAAGCCUUCGGGCGCAAUUUGAGGGGCUCGCGGCCUAUCAGCUAGUUGGCGGGGUAACGGCCCACCAAGGCGACGACGGGUAGCUGGUCUGAGAGGAUGGCCAGCCACAUUGGGACUGAGAUACGGCCCAGACUCCUACGGGAGGCAGCAGUGGGGAAUCUUGCACAAUGGGCGCAAGCCUGAUGCAGCAACGCCGCGUGCGGGAAGAAGGCCCUAGGGUUGUAAACCGCUUUCAGCUCCGACGAAGCGAGAGUGACGGUAGGAGCAGAAGAAGCACCGGCCAACUACGUGCCA